AUCACCUGCAUUCAUGGUGCGCUUAUCAUGAAAUAUUUUUGAUUUUGGAGAUCAUAUGAGAACCAGACCAAGCAAAAGUUGCAGAGUAGCAGUAAUCCACAGCAUCAAUCAACUGCUGGAAGUACUUUCUAGCCUGCUCAUCAGAUAUCCUCUUAAGAAGGUUUGGUUGUAUGAUUUUCAUACUCUUGCUUUUGCUCGUCGUCGUCAAAGCCGGCUUCUUCUCUCUUUCUA